rnacentral:rRNA from 1 species
GAUGAACGCCGGCGGCGUGCUUAACACAUGCAAGUCGAACGGGAAAUACUUUAUUGAAACUUCGGUGGAUUUAAUUUAUUUCUAGUGGCGGACGGGUGAGUAACGCGUGGGUAACCUGCCUUAUACUGGGGGAUAACAGCCAGAAAUGACUGCUAAUACCGCAUAAGCGCACAGAACCGCAUGGUUCGGUGUGAAAAACUCCGGUGGUAUAAGAUGGACCCGCGUUGGAUUAGCUAGUUGGCAGGGCAGUGGCCUACCAAGGCGACGAUCCAUAGCCGGCCUGAGAGGGUGAACGGCCACAUUGGGACUGAGACACGGCCCAGACUCCUACGGGAGGCAGCAGUGGGGAAUAUUGCACAAUGGGGGAAACCCUGAUGCAGCGACGCCGCGUGAAGGAAGAAGUAUCUCGGUAUGUAAACUUCUAUCAGCAGGGAAGAUAAUGACGGUAC